rnacentral:lncRNA from 13 species
AGUGGCUCAGGAGUCUGUUUGGCUGAGGGUAGUCACAGAGCUGAGCAGACCCAGGGUGAGCCUGCGGAAUCAAAAUAUAAAGAAAACAGGAAAGAUCCUCAGUGGGUUUUGGCAUUUGUACUUCGUCUUCUUGGCAGACUUUGGUGAUAAUGGUCAUGGGGAUGAUGCAAAACGCCCUUGUGUGGCAGCACUGUGGGGCUACUUCUCUGGGACUGGUCACCAUCCCUUCUGCAGUUCAGCCUGUGGAGAGAGGAGCUUAAACCAGUUGUCAUGCAAAGCAUCAAGAGAGCAACUGUAGCACAAAUCCAGGGGAGAAGAGGUCUGGUUAUUGUGACCUUUUCCCCUGUUUUGGUAAGACUGAAGAAGUCCAUCAUGAGUCUGCUGAAAUUUAUGCACUCUACAGGCUUUUUCCUGCAGAAUGUUUUUUCAAAUGAAAGGGCAGAAGGAAGAGAACUGGUUCAGAUCCUGAUUUUUAACAUGCAAGACGGAAAGAGGUUGGGAUUUUAUAUGGGACUGAAGACAUUUCUUUUGGAUCUUUGGAAGAAAAAAAUGCUCUCCAUCUUCAUAGCAAAAAGGAUCAAUGCUGAAAUACAUAAGAAGAGAGGCUGUCCUGGAAAAGUGAGAAAGAGUGUGCAGAAAGAAACUAUGCCCAGAUGAAUCCACUGUGCCCUGUUUGGCAUAAAACAUAGGAGAAGCACAAAGGAGAUAUCAAUAUUUUGCUUCUGCUUUUUUUAAAGGAAAUAAAAUCCUAAUGAAAUAGAAC